rnacentral:tRNA from 1 species
GGGCCUGUAGCUCAGUCAGGUAGAGCGUCGGGCUUUUAACCCGAUGGUCGCGGGUUCGAACCCCGUCGGGCCCGCCU